rnacentral:rRNA from 1 species
UACAGAGGUCUCAAGCGUUGUUCGGAUUCAUUGGGCGUAAAGGGUGCGUAGGCGGCGGGGUAAGUCGGAUGUGAAAUCCCGGGGCUCAACCCCGGAACUGCAUUCGAUACUGCCUUGCUAGAGUACUGGAGAGGAGACUGGAAUUUACGGUGUAGCAGUGAAAUGCGUAGAUAUCGUAAGGAAGACCAGUGGCGAAGGCGGGUCUCUGGACAGUUCCUGACGCUGAGGUACGAAAGCUAGGGUAGCGAACGGG